GACGAACGCUGGCGGCGUGCCUAAUACAUGCAAGUCGAACGCUCUUUUCUUAUCGAAACUUCGGUUCACCAAGAAAAGGGAGUGGCGAACGGGUGAGUAACACGUGGACAACCUGCCUCAAGGCUGGGGAUAACAUUUGGAAACAGAUGCUAAUACCGAAUAAAACUUAGUGUCGCAUGACAAAAAGUUAAAGGCGCUUCGGCGUCACCUAGAGAUGGAUCCG
rnacentral:rRNA from 1 species